rnacentral:rRNA from 1 species
AAAGGGCAGCGAAACCGUGAGGUCAAGCAAAUCCCAUAAAGUUGUUCUCAGUUCGGAUUGUAGUCUGCAACUCGACUACAUGAAGCUGGAAUCGCUAGUAAUCGUAGAUCAGCAUGCUACGGUGAAUACGUUCCCGGGUCUUGUACACACCGCCCGUCACACCACGAGAGUUUGUAACACCCGAAGCCGGUGGAGUAACCUUUUAGGAGCUAGCCGUCGAAGGUGGGACAAAUGAUUGGGGUGAAGUCGUAACAAGGUAGCCGUAUCGGAAGGUGCGGCUGGAUCACCUCCUUU